rnacentral:rRNA from 1 species
UACGGAGGGUGCAAGCGUUACUCGGAAUCACUGGGCGUAAAGGACGCGUAGGCUGUUUUGCAAGUCAGAUGUGAAAUCCAAUGGCUCAACCAUUGAACUGCAUUUGAAACUGCUAGACUAGAGUAUGGGAGGGGGAGAUGGAAUUAGUGGUGUAGGGGUAAAAUCCGUAGAUAUCACUAGGAAUACCUAAAGCGAAGGCGAUCUCCUGGAACAUUACUGACGCUAAGGCGUGAAAGCGUGGGGAGCAAACAGGAUUAGAUACCCUGGUAGUCCACGCCCUAAACGAUGAACACUAGUCGUCGGGAUGCUUGUCAUCUCGGUGAUGCACUUAACAGGUUAAGUGUUCCGCCUGGGGAGUACGGUCGCAAGAUUA